GACGAACGCUGGCGGCGCGCUUAACACAUGCAAGUCGAACGGAAAGGCCUGCUUUCCCUUGUGGAUUGCGGGUACUCGAGUGGCGAACGGGUGAGUAACACGUGAGUGAUCUGCCCCCAACUUGGGUAUAAGCCUGGGAAACUGGGUCUAAUUCCCGAUAGGACUGCAGGGUGGUGCCUGUGGUGGAAAACGAUUUUCUAGUGGUUGGGGAUGAGCUCGCGGCCUAUCAGCUUGUUGGUGGGGUAAUGGCCUACCAAGGCGGCGACGGGUAGCCGGCCUGGGAGGGUGGACGGGCACAUUGGGACUGGGAUACGGCCCAGACUGCUACGGGAGGCAGCAGUGGGGAAUAUUGCACAAUGGGCGGAAGCCUGAUGCAGCGACGCCGCGUGGGGGAUGACGGCCUUCGGGUUGUAAACUCCUUUCGACCGCGAGGAAGCCACCUGGUUGGAAGGGUGGUGACGGUAGUGGUAGAAGAAGCACCGGCUAACUACGU
rnacentral:rRNA from 1 species